rnacentral:rRNA from 1 species
GAGUUGAUCCUGGCUCAGAGUGAACGCUAGCGGCGUGGAUUAGGCAUGCAAGUCGAGCGAUUCUUUUGGAAUUGAUUUGAGGUGCUUGCACCAAUCUGAUUUUCCUAUUCGGAAUAGCGGCAAACGGGUGAGUAACACGUAAACAAUUUUCCCUAAAGACAGGCACAGCAUCGCGAAAGCGAUGGUAAUUCCUGAUGUGUCCUUUUAAUCGCAUGGUUGAAAGGGUAAAGGAGGGGACCUUCGGGCCUUCCACUUUUGGAUGAGUUUGCGUCCUAUCAGCUUGUUGGUGGGGUAAUGGCCUACCAAGGCAUUUGACGGGUAGCCGGCCUGAGAGGGUGACCGGCCACACUGGGACUGAGACACUGCCCAGACUCCUACGGGAGGCUGCAGUCGAGAAUCUUUUUCAAUGGACGAAAGUCUGAAAAUGCGACGCCGCGUGCAGGACGAAGGCUUUCGGGUCGUAAACUGCUUUUGUUAGGAAAGAAACCUUAACGGUCAAUAUCCGUUAAGCUGACGGUACCUAACGAAUAAGCCACGGCCAAUUACGUGCCAGCAGCCGCGGUAAUACGUAAGUGGCAAGCGUUACUCGGAAUCAUUGGGUGUAAAGGGCAAGUAGGCGGUCUAUUAAGUGAGGGGUGAAAUCUACCGGCUCAAUCGGUAAAGUGCCUUUCAAACUAGUAGACUUGAGGAUGUAAGGGGGAAAUGGAAUUAGCAGUGUAAGGGUGAAAUCUGUAGAUAUUGCUAAGAACACCCGGCGGCGGAAAGCGAUUUCCUGGUACAAUCCUGACGCCUAAUUUGCGAAAAGCUAGGGUAAGCAAACGGAAAUUAGAAACUUCCCGGUAGUCCUAGCCGUAAACGAUGAGUACUAGGUGUUGGACAUCUGUUCAGUGCCGAAGUUAACGCGUUAAGUACUCCACCUGGGGACUACGGCCGCAAGGGUAAAACUCAAAGGAAUUGACGGGGACCCGCACAAGCGGUGGAACAUGUGGUUUAAUUCGAUGCUACGCGAAGAACCUCACCAAGGCUUGACAUGCUCGUCGUAUUCUCCUUAAAGGGAGAAGUCAGCUAGGCUGGACGAUGCACAGGUGCUGCAUGGCUGUCGUCAGCUCGUGUCGUGAGAUGUUGGGUUAAGUCCCGCAACGAGCGCAACCAUUGCCUUAUGUUGCCAGCACGUAAUGGUGGGAACUCUAAGGAGACCGCCGGUGAUAAACCGGAGGAAGGUGGGGACGACGUCAAGUCAUCAUGGCCCUUAUGGGCAGGGCUACACACGUGCUACAAUGGCCGGUACAGAGGGUCGCCAACCCGCGAGGGGGGGCUAAUCCCAGAAAGCCGGUCGUAGUCCGGAUCGGAGUCUGCAACUCGACUCCAUGAAGUCGGAAUCGCUAGUAAUCGCGAAUCAGCAUUGUCGCGGUGAAUACGUUCCCGGGUCUUGUACACACCGCCCGUCACACCAUGGGAGUUGGUUGCACCAGAAGUAGGUAGUCUAACCUUCGGGAGGACGCUUACCACGGUGUGGCUGAUGACUGGGGUGAAGUCGUAACAAGGUAUCC